GUAGGUGAACCUGCGGAAGGAUCAUUAUUGAAUGAACUUGGCUUGGUUGUUGCUGGCUUCUUUGGAAGUAUGUGCACGCCUUGUCAUCUUUAUAUCUCCACCUGUGCACCUCUUGUAGACCUGGAUUCAACUUUCUGAGGCAACUCGGUCGUGAGGAGUUGCUUUAACGUGCUCUCCUUGAAAGUUUUCAGGCCUAUGUUUUUCAUAUACACUCUAAGAAUGUAAUAGAAUGUGAUUAUUAGACUUUUAA
rnacentral:misc_RNA from 1 species